rnacentral:rRNA from 1 species
UCGGGUUGUAAAGCACUUUUGUCCGGAAAGAAAUCCUUGAUCCUAAUAUGGUCGGGGGAUGACGGUACCGGAGGAAUAAGCACCGGCUAACUACGUGCCAGCAGCCGCGGUAAUACGUAGGGUGCGAGCGUUAAUCGGAAUUACUGGGCGUAAAGCGUGCGCAGGCGGUUUUGCUAAGACCGAUGUGAAAUCCCCGGGGCUUUAACCUGGGAACUGCAUUUGGUGACUGGCAGGCUAGAGUAUGGCAGAGGGGGGGUAGAAUUCCACGUGUAGCAGUGAAAUGCGUAGAGAUGUGGAGGAAUACCGAUGGCGAAGGCAGCCCCUGGGCCAAUACUGACGCUCAUGCACGAAAGCGUGGGGAGCAAACAGGAUUAGAUACCCUGGUAGUCCACGCCCUAAACGAUGUCAACUAGUUGUUGGGGAUUCAUUUCCUUAGUAACGUAGCUAACGCGUGAAGUUGACCGCCUGGGGAGUACGGUCGCAAGAUUAAAACUCAAAGGAAUUGACGGGGACCCGCACAAGCGGUGGAUGAUGUGGAUUAAUUCGAUGCAACGCGAAAAACCUUACCUACCCUUGACAUGGACGGAAGGCCGCUG